rnacentral:rRNA from 1 species
UACGUAGGGUGCGAGCGUUAAUCGGAAUUACUGGGCGUAAAGCGUGCGCAGGCGGUUUUGUAAGACAGGCGUGAAAUCCCCCGGGCUCAACCUGGGAAUGGCGCUUGUGACUGCAAAGCUGGAGUGCGGCAGAGGGGGAUGGAAUUCCGCGUGUAGCAGUGAAAUGCGUAGAUAUGCGGAGGAACACCGAUGGCGAAGGCAAUCCCCUGGGCCUGCACUGACGCUCAUGCACGAAAGCGUGGGGAGCAAACAGG